rnacentral:tRNA from 1 species
GGGUAUGUGGCUGAGCGGCUUAAGGUAAUCCUCUUGAAAAGGAUCGUAUAUUUUUAUAUACCGGGGGUUCGAAUCCCCCCAUACCCU